ACCUGAAAAAGAAGCUAAGUUUUAACCUGGGGGUUGGGCUGUCUUUAACAAUGAUUCUUAUUUACUUAAAAAAAUCACUUGUUUUCUCUUCAAAACUGGGGGUAGUGGGACUUAUACAAACAGACACCCGAGAUGGACUCAUGUACGGCUUCGGAGGAGAUAAGAAUCCAUUUCAAGUGACAUUAUAAAAUUAUGUAAAACUUGAACUUCAUUACGGAUACGAAAGGGUUCCCUUCAGAGGGGUAAGGCCUAGAAGUCAGGGCUGGGAAGAAGACUGAGUAUUUUACUUUACUGUAUAACUUUUGUUUGCAUUUUAACAGAAAUGUGUAUUUGUACAUCUCUAUCCAAAGUCCAGAAUAUGCUAUCUAUAGUACAAAAAUCGGAUUCAAAAUGAUCGAAAAUCCAAACUUUUUGAGAGCCAACAUGAUACCAUAAGUGCAAAUUUUAACACCUAAUUUCAUGUGAUAAUUUGCAGGUAAAACACAGGUGCCCUAUAAAUACUGUAUAAAAUUACACUUAUAUUAUGUGUAUACAGUGUAUAUAAAAAUAAAUGAAUUUCAUGUUGAUACUUGGGUUUCAUCUCCAAAACAGAUAUUUCAUUAUAUAUAAGCAAAUAUUCCAAAAUCCAAAAUAACCUAAAACUUGAAAUGCUUCUCGUCCCCUGCGUUUCAAUAAAUAGUAUUUAGCCUGUACUAGGUACUUUACUGAGAAGCAGUCUUUGUCUUCCUAGAGUUAUCAGUAUAGUGGGCAACAGAAAGCAACACAGAUAGCUGUAACAGGCAUGAGACAACGCAGAACUGAAGAAAAUGAGGUUAUGUUCAGCACCCCUUUCCGUGGCACGCCUCUCCCCACAUUUCACAUGUUUGUAGCAGCUGCCACUUAGCAGUAGAGGAAAGGUACCUGACCCACCUAGGGCAAUCGAUUUUCUUCUCCAUGAGUUACGGAAAAAGAAACUAAAUGAAGGAAGGCCAGUAGAGGAUAUUGAAACAUCCAGAAUUGUUUAUAAUAGUUUGUGCCCUAUGCCAGCUGCAUUAGAUUUACCAGAGCAUCUUUCCUAUCAAAAAUAGAUUCCUGAUCAGUACAGAUGGGGGCAGGGACAGGAAUCACAACACCCUUUAACCUCUCAGGUGAUUCUAGCACACAUUCUGACAACCACUGCUGGAUGCUGUGACAUGUCACGUGAGGAACCCAUACUCAAUUCUGGAAGCAACAGGGCAAUGUACUUGACAUAGCAAAAGGCUAAAGGAACAUUCCAAAAUGAGAGUCACAACCAAAAUGUCUCCAGCAGAGUGGCCUAGGCUGUGCAGGGACAGCGGCUCUAGGUUCUGAAAUGCGUCUCUAUGUAAGAUAAAGUGACACACAAAUGCUAGAAACUUGUCAGUAAUUCCGUCUUAGUGAGAGGCCAGCCAGGAAGAGAAAACACUGCCAACACUCUGUCUUAUUCAAGGUGUAAGAAACAUAUCACCUUCUCAGUAGAAGUAGUUUAUAAAUCUGUGAGCUCAGAAAAUAAGACAGAUGAUUCUACUGAAUGGCCAUCUGAUGAUGUAUAUUUAGAAGGGUCAUACUCCAUCACCUGCACCUCAGUCCAUAGGACUUAACUUUUCUACCCCAAACAGCAGCAACUCCCACAGAAAAAUUACUGUUCUGGCCCCCUGGAAAAGUCAAUCAACAGAAGGUCACUUCAACAGAGGCUGUGGGAUGUUUCAGAAUUUCUGUCCCAUAUGAAGUAGUGGAUAACCCUGGCAGGAUUGAGCAAGAUGGGGAACCCACCUCUUCACCAGCUUUAAGUUUUUGAACUGUCUCUAUCUCUAUGCAAAAUUCCAAAGAAGUCAAGGUCUAGUGUUAUCUACAAAACAAGUUGCUAAAUUGUACCCAAAUGUGCAUUUAUUUCUUUUCUCCACAGAUUAGCAAUGCUCGGGGAAUAACACUGGAAGCCUUACAUGACUCCUGCUAUUCUUAAUCUCCUGCAGUAUCAGAGGAUGGAUACAGACCAAUUUGGCUCUUACAGGAAGUGACCUGUAUAUAGAACGACAGUGUCUGUCUCACAUUUUCCUUAGAAACUAGAUAGCAGAUUAGUUUCAUUAGAAGCAUGAAACAAAUUCUACCUACAAAAAUUAAGGGAGGGAGGAAGCAAUUAGUAUUCACUAAAUUCAAGAAUGUGUCCAGAGCUUUUUACCCCAUCUUCUUUAAUCCUGGCAACAACAGCUCCAUAAAGGAAAGCCUGUUGUUAUUUUUAUUUACAGUUGUGGAAACUGCAGCUCUGAGAGAUGCAAAAACUUGCCCCAAGGGCACACAUCUAGUAAGAGGUAGAGCUAGGUUUUGAACCUUGAUUAAUUACCUCCACACUGCCUCUCGAGAUAAAGGACUUCUGCCCUGAAGGUACAAGAGGUCACCUAGCUGGCUCUGAAAGCCAAAGGCUGCCACAGAAGCGCGACUUGGGUUUCAGUGUGGGACUUGCCUUUACUUCUUUCCAAGGGUCCUCCAGCACCUUAGUCUGAACCAGGGAUUGCACAAGUCCUUUGGCACUCUUUACUAAGCCACAGGUCAACAGAAAACAACAGCAGCACUGUUACAGCAACUAAAAACUGGUUUGCUUGGAAGUUGGGCAAUGGUCCCUCUAUGUAAAGGAUACUGGAACUCAGAGCUACUCCAAAGUUUUAAAUCUUAUAGCAGCACCAUGGUUUAAUAAAUUCCAUGAAAAAGCCCAAAACAACUGUAUUUCAGGAAUGCAGGGAGCUUGGGAGCAACCCCAGAUUCACAGCAGAAUCUACAUAUUGUGUUGGUCCCUGGUCAGAAGUCCACCCAGCCCCAAUCCUCAAGCAUUAACAAAUUCUCCAGUCCCCAAAGACUCCAAACUAGCACUAAGACCUGGGCUUUAUCUAGGAACACUAUCAACUGGUCAGAGAACCUUCCUUCCUUCAUUUCUUUCUUAUCACCCUUCCUUCCCACUCUAGGCUUGGCUCCUGCCUCUUUUCAGUUUUAUCUAAUCUCCACUCAAUAAUAAUAAAAGAGGGAAAGAAAACAGAUUAAACUGGCUUUGGGAGUGGCUGAUAGCUUAAUUGGUCUUUUUUGGUUUUUGUUUUGGUGGGGUGGAGAGACUUAGCUUAUGUCUUUCUUUUUCUCUGGGACAAAAUAUUUGACAUUCUCAACUGAAGAGAGGUUUAUUUGGGCUCAUGCUAGUUCCUUGCUUCAUUCCAUGUAGAUGCAUGUGAGAAACCGUAUAAAUUAUUUCUAGAUUUUCCUAAACAGGCUAUCUCUUUGAUUCAGUAAUUCAUAGAAGUAAUUUCAACAAAACAAAAACCUCUUAAUUUGCAACUAAAUACAAGGAUCUUGGUAUCUGUAACUAUAAAAAUUUUCAAGCCAGGACAAAUGUCUAUUUGGGGAGAGAAAAAAAAAAAAAACCAUAGAUGGGAACAGAAGAGUUUUAGAAAAAGGAAUCGUCUAUAACAACCAAAUCCAGCAGCACAGUUUUUCUUUUUCUUUAAAUUCUGAACAUGUUUGUAUCAGUCUUGGUAAGAGAAGAAAACUGUAAAAAAGCUAACAAACCUGCCAAAAGAAGUAAAAACUGCCACUUUCAUUCUAGCUUUUGGUGAAAUCGUAACGGCAGCAUGUUUUUUCUUGAGCCCUGAUUACUUUCUUUUUUUAUAUAUAAAUUUGUUUUUUGUCUUUUUGAGAUAGGGUCUCGCUAUGCAGUUCAGGCUGGCCUCAAGCCCACUUUGUAGCCCAGGCUGGUCUCCAGCUUACAAUGAUCCUCCUGCCUCAGCCUCCCGAGUGCUGGGGUCACAGGGCGUGAUCUACCACGCCCCGCUAUUCUGAUUACUUUCAAAGUGCACAGUAUGCUAUGGAGAUAAACACCACUCAGCUGCUUCUAACGUGACAGAAAGGUCUGCCAUCACAGUGACUUGUCCCUUCUUGUUCAAUGUUUAAGUCACUAGUUUAUUUACUCUUUCUGCUGACCUGUUCUGGAUAACUGAACAGAAUGUUCAAUGUAUAUUUCUAGAUUUUUAAAAAAAAGUAGAAUUGUCAUGGCGGUUAACUAAGUUUCAUUUCUAAAUAGUCACUGAAAUUUUUUGCACUUCAGUUUCCCAAUGUGUAUGAUAAGGUUGUUUGAUGAUUCUGUAAAGUUCAUUUAAAGGAAAAAAUGUGGGAUUCAUGCAUUAAAUGUGUAUGUAUCUGAUUGUCUAAUAUGUGCCAGGAACUACUUUAGGUCCUGGAGAUGUACAGUACCAGUGAACAAAGAGGAAAAAUUCCUGCCUUAGUGCUUCCAUUUUAGUGAAAAGAGACCAACAACAACAACAAAACAAAUAAACAAGCAAACCGGGUUCCAUUACACAGUGUCCUUCCUGUUCAUAAGCACCAAGAGGCAGCAGGGAAUGCAGAAGCCUUGGGGGAUGUCAGGACUCAAUGACACUGGAGCCACCUGAGAAGAACCUUGAAAGGAAGAAGGUACAACUUUCUCAGAAUAGAAGCACAAGUAAGAGCUGGGAGUUUGAAGCCAGAUGCCACAUGUUGAAAGAGGAAUCGAACAAAAGCUCAAGUCCAUCAGACUCUAAGGCAACUAUGCCACAGCUCAAUCGCAGCGAUAUACACAGUGAUAUGGUUUCUACACAGAGCUCCAGUUUCACUGAUUCAAAAUGUGACAAAUAACAGACAAAUCUCGAGGUACUUGAUUAAGGAUUUAUCCUGGCCUCUCUGGACUAAGAGAAGUGUAACUGACAGGGAUUCAUUCAUACAUUUAUCACUGAAAUGAAAGGAUAAAAGUUCCCAGCCUCCUUGUUAUGGCUCAUGUCUAAAGGUCCCUCCAAAAACUCAGGUGUUCAUAGUCAGGGAUUUUGGGAAGCAACUAAAUAUGGUUACAUGACAGGUGACUUUGCAUUUGGAGAUGGGACUUGGUUGGGGCACAAUCUUACAGAGUGUAUCUCCCUCCCUGUUUUUUCCCUCAACCUUUUCCUCACUGUCAGGAUGUGAACAGCUUUUCUCUGCCCAGGUCUUCCACCAUACCACCAACAAUACAAGGACUGAAACUUCUAAAAUGUGAGCCAAAAUAAACCUCUCCUCCUUAAA